AGUGAACGCUGGCGGUAGGCCUAACACAUGCAAGUCGAACGGCAGCACAGUAAGAGCUUUCUCUUACGGGUGACGAGUGGCGGAAGGGUGAGGAAUACAUCGGAAUCUACUUUUUCGUGGGGGAUAACGUAGGGCAACUUACGCUAAUACAGCCUACGACCUACGGGUGAGAGCAGGGGAUCUUCGGACCUUGCGCGAUUGAGUGAGCCGGUGUCGGAUUAGCUAGUUGGCGGGGUAAAGGCCCACCAAGGCGACGAUCCUUAGAUGGUGUGAGAGGGUGAACAGCCACACUGGAAGUGAGACACGGUACAGACUCCUAGAGGAGGCACCAGUGGGGAAUAGUGGACGAUGGGCGCAAGCCUGAUCCAGGCAUACCGCGUGGGUGAAGAAGGCCUUCGGGUUGGAAAGCCGUUUUGUGGUGAAAGAAAAGCAUCAGGUUAGGACCCCGCUGUUCUGACGGUACCCAAAGAAUAAGCACCGGCUAACUUCGUG
rnacentral:rRNA from 1 species